rnacentral:lncRNA from 1 species
CACCCACUACCCGUCGGAUACCCGCCGAGACUUGAAAAUAACGAUAAAUAUUAGUUGAAUAAUAUAAUAAUUCUAUGAAGCUUGAGGACGAAUACGUAAGCAAAACACUACUAAUUCAUAAUAAAGUUAACCAAAUAAUAGGAGUAGCAAAUAAAGUAUAGUCUUAAUAGUUAAUACUUAAUAAAACACACUAAAAUAUUAGCUCUCUUCAUUCAUCAUCCUCAUUCUCAAGCUGACUCUGGUACACACACAAAUUACAAAGGUUACACAUAUGGAGUUGUGGGGCUAGGGGUCGGACGGAGCUCCCUUAUCACCCAAAUGAACUCUGUUAUUGG